AGGGGUUUGAGAGUGUGAGUUGAGAGAGGGUGUACAAGGGGUAUCCGGCUUUGGAUACAGGGUUGGGUUUGGUUUAAAUCCAAGUAUUAUUACUUACAAGUGUUGGAUUUG